rnacentral:rRNA from 1 species
GACGAACCGUGCGAACGUUAUUCGGAUUCACUGGGCUUAAAGCGCGUGUAGGCGGAGGACCACGUCGGUCGCUGAAAUCCCCUGGCUCAACCAGGGAACGGGCGCCGAUACGGGUCUUCUGGAGGGAGGUAGGGGGAGCCGGAACUUCCGGUGGAGCGGUGAAAUGCGUUGAGAUCGGAAGGAACGCCCGUGGCGAAAGCGGGCUCCUGGACCUCACCUGACGCUGAGACGCGAAAGCUAGGGGAGCAAACGGG